rfam:Pseudomonas denitrificans ATCC 13867, complete genome.
CAGGAGGCCUCGUUGAAGCGGAGUUUCAGGGGUUGAGCGACAUGGAUGUCGCGAGAGCGCUGUCGGGCCAGGGAUGGCCCGUCAGCGCGUGCCCCUGAAACUUCGCUUCAACGAGGGAAUUUU